rnacentral:rRNA from 1 species
GAUGAACGCUGGCGGCGUGCUUAAUACAUGCAAGUCGAACGGAGAACCUUUGUAGCAAUACGAGGGUUUCUUAGUGGCGAACGGGUGCGUAACGCGUUGGUGACCUGCCCCGAAGUGUGGGAUAACAGUUCGAAAGGAUUGCUAAUACCGCAUGUGGUUUUCCGGAUCAGAUGCCGGAUCUCUAAAGCAGUAAUGCGCUUCGGGAGGGACCUGCGUCCCAUCAGCUAGCUGGUGAGGUAACGGCCCACCAAGGCUACGACGGGUAGGGGACCUGAGAGGGUGGUCCCCCACACUGGCACUGAAACACGGGCCAGACACCUACGGGUGGCAGCAGUAGGGAAUAUUGGGCAAUGGGCGAAAGCCUGACCCAGCAACGCCGCGUGCACGAUGAAGGUCUUCGGAUCGUAAAGUGCUUUUCUGAGAGAUGAGAAAGGACAGUAUCUCAGGAAUAAGUCUCGGCUAACUACGUGCCAGCCGCCGCCGUAAAAC